AAUAAUUUGAGGUGCAAUUUUCCAGACACCCCUGCACCUCUCUCCUUGAAACUUGUCAGGCUUCACGGUCUCAGAAGGGGCUACAUUCCUUGAAGUUUCAU